rnacentral:lncRNA from 1 species
GUACUAUCUUCCUCAUAGAGUUGAUAUGUUAUACAAAGGUCAUAUAUGUGAAAAAAUCUUUGAAAAUGUGAAUGUGAUAUAAUCUGUAUCCCAGUAGUUUAUUUUUUUUAAGUUUAUUUAUUUAUUUUGAGAGAGACAGAGACAGGUCAAGUGGGGGAGGGGCAGAGAGAGAGAAUCCCAAGCAGGCUCCGCUCUGUCAGCACAGAGCCUGACACGGAGCUGGAACCCAGGAACUGUGAGAUCAUGACCUGGGCUGAAACCAAGAGUCAGAUGCUUAACUGACUGAGCCACCCAGGCGCCCCUCCCAGUAGUUUAUUCUUAAAUGAACACCAACCACCCAAUAACCAUGCCUCUGUUCCACAUACAACAUGCUGUAAGACAUUGCAGAGGUGAGGGCAGUACUUAGGUUUCCUGCUAAAGAAAUCUGAGCUCUUGCAUUAUUUUGAGACACUGUUCCGUCUUGGUUCAGAAUGGUGGUUCUGAAGGUCUGCCCUGUCUUUGGGGGCCAGGAGAGAGCUGGAGGUCAAGUUUGCUGAGUCUGGGUUUAAGCAGCACAGCCAAACCUCUUCAAGACUAAGCCUUGAUCUUGAUGUCAGUUUGUAAGACUAACACUUUGAUGGAGGUGAGAGACUCAUGUAUGAAUAGUGAUGGAGGAGCCAUGGAGCUAGAAGAAAGCAAUGAAGAAACCUUUCCUUUGUUACUUCCUUCCUUGGUGAUUGCCUGCCUUCUUCACCAAUAUACUGGAGUUACAGAAUGCGGUGAUAUGUACUUUACAAUGGGAUUAAAUAUGGCAACAUGGCUAGAUCUGCACAAAUCUGGAACUCUCGUUCUGUUUGUGCUAUAGA